CCACAGACCACCUACUGCCAGACCUCAACGCCUCACAAAACUCUCACCCACCUACUGCUUUUAGCUCACAUUCCAGGAAUUCAGAUGAAGUGAAGUGCUCUCAUGGGGACCAGGCAUGGUUAUUCCAGUCCACUGCCCUGCAAGCCUCAAGGGAAGCCAACUGCCCUUCAGCAAGUCACACCUGCCUUGGUGGAGGCCUUGAUUGGAAGUGCCACACGCUACAUGUCCAGUCCUGAGCGGGAGAAUCGGUGUAGGGACGUUGUGGGGAUGCCGGCUGUGGCCAGAUCAGGUCCAGCUACAGAAGAAUGAAGACUCCACCUGAGGGCUGGAAAAACAAAACCUCAAGUGUGAGGCAGCCAACCUGUUACCUCGAGGGACUGUCCCGCAGCACAGCGGGGCCAUGGGAACAGCAGCAGACACCCCGGCCUCCUCGCUACCUGUAUCAACUAUGGCCUGAGUAUGAUAGACUUAUCCAUGGUUUAAACAGAAUAUAUUGUUUUCAACUUUGAAAAUAAGAAUAUGGAAAUCCAGAUGCAGAAAUGUGAGAAGAAAAGAGAGUAAACAGAGUGGAAGGUCAGGUGACCUUGCCUGUCAUGAAUAUGAAGGUCAAGGUGUGUGAAUUGUGAAAUUUCCAAGAGAACCUCACUGAAGCAAAGAAUGGAGAAAGAAUCGCAUUUGGCCCUGGGAGCGUGCAGGGGUGAAUGGUGCAGGAGCUAAAUCUUUAUCAUACCCAGAAAUCAACAGCCACUAUUUGAAAUCAUCUAAAUUCGUGCUGCUAACCUUCAGUGUACACACAAAUCACCUGGGGAUCUUAUUAAAA
rnacentral:lncRNA from 1 species